rnacentral:lncRNA from 1 species
AUCUAUGGGUGACAUCACCGCCAUUGCUGGGUUCGGAGGCCAUCUGCAAAGUCGUUCCUGAUACCAACAGUAGGUGUUGAAAACAUGCCGUGGUGUUUUUGAAUUCAGAGUCUAGGUGGUCACCGCCAAUUGGUAAAAUUGGUAUGGAAAAAGAUACACUAGACUCUGUGUAGCCCUACCUAGAAGAAAGUUGACUUCAUGUGAAGUUAACAAUUUUAAAACCAGAAAAGAGGAAAAGUCUUUAAUGAUAUCCUCAUCUUUCAUCAAUCAAAUAAUUAUCUAUCUUCAGCAUUUCAAAUCGAAGCCAGUAUAGAGAAGGCAGAUUCUCACUGAGGAGUCUGGUAUUCCAUGGGGUGAUGAUCUGGCUUCUCCCUGGGACUCUCUUGUCCACCAGAGGAUUGACGGACAUUUUUGGCAAAGGACUAGAAAAGGUUGAAAAGCCAUCCUGUCCAGUUCCCUCACUGCCUACAAUUGGAUAAACAUGUGACUGAUCAGCACCUAAAGGAGGGCUAAGGAAUCUAUUCCCUGAUGGCCCUGGGUCCAACAUGAUGGAAGGAGAGAGCUGACUCUCCUAAAUUAUCCUCUGGACUCCCUGUAUGUGUCCAUAUAUAUACAUAUCCUGGCAGCAGGAAAUGAAAUGAGAACAGAAGUUGGUCCCGUGAAUGAUCUGUUGCUAUGAUAAACCUGUUCAUGUGGCUUUUAAACCACUGGUACUGUUUUUAUCGGAAGAAUAUGGAGAACUUUGGUACAUUAGGCUAGUAAAGUCACUGAAUGCUGGG